AAGAGAGAAAAGGAAAACUGAGAGAUAAGAGGGUGGGCGGUGCUCUGGUCACCAUGGUGGUGGCUGUGGUGGUUCUUUGCCCCCAUCAACCCUUUUAAAACCGUCUUGAGGAGAGGGAACGAUAGGAGACGGAACCGAGAUGAGAGAGAACGAGAAGAGAAAGGGGAAAUGGAGAGAGAAGAGGGUGGGCGGUUACCGGAGGGUCACCACCGUCACUCCGCCACCAUGGUGUUUUGUGUUGCUCUUUCUUGCGGUUCUGGUGAAAGUGAAACCAUGUGAAAACGAGCAUUGUCUAAACUCUCAUCUCUCCGAUCUAUCUUCAUACCUAAUUGAAUCGUUACAUGUACACCAUCGCCGAUGACUCUUCAUCCAUUGGCAUUGGCAACCAUCGUCACUCAUCAUUUCUCGGGUCAGAACAUCCGUAAUCUGGUCAAGGAUGAUGGGGCAGAACAUCCCGAGUAGGAAGCCGAGAGAAAGGGCCGUCAUUUUGGGUAUGAUAAGCGUAACAGACAAGGGAGGCAAGAUUGCCCACAAAGAUGUUGUGGAUGAGGAAAAUGAGAGUGUUGAGACGGUUGCUUCGCAGAUGCCGUGAGUCAAAAAAGAUUGACAGACAUAUAUAUAUCAUGAUAUGAAGGUUGAGGGUAAUGUCUUUGAAAAUAAGCGUGUGCUCAUGGAAAGCAUUUAUAAAUCGAAGGCUGAUGAGGCCCGUGAGAACUGUCUGACCAGUUUGAGGCCAAGAGAGCCAAAAACAAGGCUAGCAAAAAACCAAAAUUGUCAUAUAAAUUCUUUAAUUACAGCUCCAAAGGUAAAGAGUCUCCGAAGAAGAAUGAAGAAAAGAGCUUCACGAAGCCGAAUUAUUCUCAAGGUUUUGAUCGCUUUGUUCUUCACGGUGGUAAGUUACAUACACUUUCUGAUUAGCAUAAAAAACCAAAUCAAACCAAUCUUCGGUUUUGGUUUCAGGAUAAAUACACUUUCAGUUCGGUUUCGGUUAGCAUAAAACAACCAAAUUAAUAAAAAUCAACCCGAUUAAUUAUAAAAGUGGGUUUAAAAUUUUAAAUGAAAUUUGUUUACCAACAAAGCCACUGUUGACUUCUUAUAAUGUAUCUACUGGUGUUUACCAACAAAGCCACUAUUAAGUGAAUGCACUGUAUACAGUGACAUGUUUUUAAUGUUAAUUAAUUAAUUACGAAGAAUUAUCACAUAUAAAGGUUUUUUUAAUUGGUUUGUUAAAUUUUAAUAAUGGUUUGAUUCAAGUUGUUGUUGUUGUUUGAUUGGGUCACUAUUCUUUGGAUUUGUUUUGCAAGGUUCGGUAUCGUUAAUCAAAAAUCAAAUCAGAUUUGUUGUUUGAUAUAUCUAUUAAUAACACAACUUAAAUGAAUAGUAUUUUGAGUUGUGGUUCGAUUUGAAUGGGCAAUUUGGGCAGUUCUUCACACGUCACCCGCUACUUUCCCAUUUCGUGAUAGCAUAUUCGUGUCACUAGGUUAAUCACGGUUCCGUGACUUGUGUUUGGCUCUGUUGGGUUACUGUUUGAAUUUGGGAAAUGAAAUUGGGAUUACGUUUCUGUACCGGCAAAUAGAUUAAAAACAAUCAAGUCUAGCCCUAUUUAAAUACAUGAGUCUAAACCCGUUGAAUGUGGUUCAACUGGGACUGACUUCAAUCCGGUAACCAGAAUGGGGACUGUUUGUAAGUUAGUCGUCGUUUUUGCGACACCCGUUGUACCCAUUAUCAACCCAGUUGUAUUUACCGGACCUGUUGGAAUUAAGUGUAUAUGGAACUGAAAGUUAUAUUCGGCCGUUACGUCCCGAGUUCGUUUGCCGGCUAUGAUAACUUUGGUAAAAAAAUAGGUUUGAUGUUGCAUAGCAAGGAUGGCGAGUUCACUGUUUACUACUAGCAACCUGUUAUGCAACCAUCAGAACCUCAAUACCGAUUCUGAGUAGUCAACUACAAGUCAUUAACAAACCAAAACGAGUUCCGGUUCUGUAACCAACCUCAUUCAAGUGAGUGAAUCAUCCGUAUAGACGCAUUGGUAGAAAAUGGGAAAAAACGGUUUCAUGUAACUUUAAUGUCUACAAUUGGCAGUCAUUGGGGUGUUUUGUGUUGCCAACAAUAUCUCCAUCAGGCGUUUUAUUUUGCACGCCCCAAACAAUUUUUUGAAGAAUGUCUAAGGGGUUUAUUGUUUCAUAUGGGAGUAUGAAUUUGAAUAUAGCAAGUUCAUUUUUGUCUUUCAAAACCAAAAGUAUUCAGUAAUGGAACACUACUAUGACAACUCUUGAUUUACUUUGCUCUUGUAGAAUGUGAACAUGUUAUUAAUGCAAUCGCAUCUGGGAAGCACAUUUUGAA